rnacentral:rRNA from 1 species
UAAGUCUCUGUUUAAAUAUCCAGGCUCAACCUGAAGGAAGGCAGGGAAACUGGCUAGCUUGAGCAUAGUAGAGGUAACUGGAAUUUCUAGUGUAGGAGUGAAAUCCGUAGAGAUUAGAAGGAACACCGAUGGCGUAGGCAGGUUACUGGGCUAUUGCUGACACUAAGGCACGAAAGCGUGGGGAGCGAACGGGAUUAGAUACCCCGGUAGUCCACGCCCUAAACGAUGCAUGCUA